GGCUAAUGCUGGGAGAGGACAAGGCCUUGUCCGGGGUCACACACACCUCCGGCCCAUUACUGAAUUCUGUCUUCCUGCCAGCAGUGGAAGGCAUCCCAGACUCGCAGGAGGAUGUCACUGAUGAGAGAGUCGGCAAAGAUCACGAGGAACCAGUUGAACGUGAUGAGAGAGAGGUCUACAUGGCGCUGUCCCAGAACCAUGACAGUCCUCCCUGUGCAAGUCAGUCUGGGCUUCAGUGUUGUUGGUGAGUACUCGGGGAUGCCCUUCCGUCCAUAUGUCUGUCCGUCCGUCCUUCCCUUCCCUCCGAGGCAUGCAGCAUCAGAGGCCAUGGCCAGCCUAGAGCCCUGUGUGAGCCACCAGAUCCGUGAUGAAUGGAACCAAAGAACUGCGUGUGAUCCACAGCACGGCAGGCAAGGCUGGAGGGGCAGGCUCUCCCUCUGCUGGUGACCAGGGACACUAGGCGGGGUCCCAGGCUGCCUAUCUUCUCUGUUCUGAACCUGGCCAAUUCUCCAAGGUCAAAGUACAACCAAAAGCAAGCUUGAUGCUGGUGCUCAAUGUAUAUCCCUUUCAGAGAUGUUCAGCUGCAGCGGUGAAAUACCGUAUUUCCCAGCCCGCCUUACAGCGGGGGGCACACCUAAGGCUCGGCUCUGACCAAAAGAAAGCAGAAAGUAGAAACUGCAGACUGAAACUCCAGCGGCCCACCUGUCUGCUUCUGUCGUACAGCAUGGCCACAGAGGGGGUUGAGGGUGGCACAGCCCUCUUGUAACCAACUGGUGACAAGAGGGCUGUAGAACAGGGACUAGGAGCAGCCUGACCCGAGCUGGGAGGAGCCUGACCCGGGCUGGGAGGAGCCUAACCCUGUGGCAUCAAGGACCAUACUUAGCCCCUCCUCUCCAUGAGGCCAGGUGCCGUCCCUUCACCGACCUGACCUUCUAGGUCCGGGGUGGCUCUCUCCUUGCAACUGCACCUGAUCCCUGCCAUCCCAAAGGGCAGCCCCGGAGGAGCGGUGGGUGUCAGACAAGACGCAGACAGGAGGGGAGAGAGCUGAGGAGGGAGGCUGGGAGAAGGAAGGAUGGAGGCUGCCUCAGCAAGAACUGGGCGGGGGACGGGGACGUGACUUUGCACUGACCUUAUUCCUAUUCUAGAGUAGGCCGGCUGGGGGUGCUUUACCCACUUCAGAGCAGCAGUGCUCCCCAGGGAUGUGGCACACAUAACCACAAGCAUGUGCACGGAUGGCACUCCUCACCCCCAGCACACUGCCCAGUCCACCAUCCUGUGGUCCCUCUCAGUUCUUGACUCGGAGAUGGCAAGGGACAUAGAGUUCUGUCUCCCCUCCCUAGCAAGCAACUCUUCCCGGUCAUCACCACUGGACUAACUCGCAGGUGGGCAGGACCUCACAAUCUUACAGGCCCUCAGUGUAGGGAACCUCUAGCAGUCAGAGAGGGUUCAA
rnacentral:sRNA from 1 species